UACGUAGGGGGCGAGCGUUGUCCGGAAUCAUUGGGCGUAAAGCGCGUGUAGGCGGCUUGGUAAGUCCGGUGUGAAACCUUGGGGCUCAACCCCAAGCCUGCACUGGAUACUGCCUCGCUUGAGUCCGGGAGGGGAGAGCGGAAUUCCUAGUGUAGCGGUGAAAUGCGCAGAUAUUAGGAAGAACACCAGUGGCGAAGGCGGCUCACUGGCCCGGUACUGACGCUGAGGCGCGAAAGCGUGGGGAGCAAACAGG
rnacentral:rRNA from 1 species